AAAUGAUGUCCAUAGAUGAUGA
rnacentral:siRNA from 1 species